rnacentral:lncRNA from 1 species
UAAUUACCUAUUCUGGUCUAAGUGCGACGGUCAGACCGACAGAUCAUCGAGCUAACAAUGGACCAUUACAAAUAUCGUUCUGCAUUUUAAAGACAUUUUUAAAAGGGAUUUUAGGUAUUCAUCCACCCUUUUUAACACCUAGAUAUAUCACAACGAAGCAUAGAACUUCAGAUCAUCCAAAAAAUCAAGAACUAGGAUUUUCUCUCAAGAUUAACCCUCA